GUCUAAAUGAUGUUAUUAGACAGAUAGUAUUUACUCUUGAAAAGUAUGGGGUUAAAAAUAUAGUCGGAAUACCAUUUGGCUAUCGCGGAUUCUUUGAUGAAAGAUUGUCAGAGAUGCCUCUUUCCCGUCGAGUGGUGCAGAACUUAAAUCUAAAUGGCGGAAGUUUUU